CAAUUUAGUUGUCUGAGAAGGCCAUGUGCCAUAAAAUUUAAAUACUUCAAAACUUUCAACAACGGAUCUCUUGGCUCUCGCAUCGAUGAAGAACGCAGCGAAAUGCGAUAAGUAAUGUGAAUUGCAGAAUUCAGUGAAUCAUCGAAUCUUUGAACGCACAUUGCGCCCUUUGGUAUUCCUAAGGGCAUGCCUGUUCGAGCGUCACUAAAACCCAUCUCACACAUAAUGUGGUAUUGGUAGAAGUGGAUAGUAUUAGCACUACUUAGUCUUACUCUACUGAAAUAAAUAGGCCAGAUAAAUUGGACCAUGGUAAUAGAUUCCAGGAGUAUUUUAAAAUACUAAACUAGUCUUAACCAAGUCAUGUUCUGAGCUACUGGACCCCCCAUUUAGUCCAAACUAGAGAGGUUGACCUCGGAUCAGGUAGGGAUACCCGCUGAACUUAAGCAUAUCAAUAAGCGGGGGAA
rnacentral:rRNA from 1 species